rnacentral:rRNA from 1 species
AACGCUAGCUACAGGCUUAACACAUGCAAGUCGCGGGGUAACGAGAGGGAAGCUUGCUUUCCUUGUCGACGACCGGCGCACGGGUGAGUAACGCGUAUCCAACCUGCCGAUGACUCGGGGAUAGCCUUUCGAAAGAAAGAUUAAUACCCGAUGGCAUAGUUCUUCCGCAUGGUAGAACUAUUAAAGAAUUUCGGUCAUCGAUGGGGAUGCGUUCCAUUAGGUUGUUGGCGGGGUAACGGCCCACCAAGCCUUCGAUGGAUAGGGGUUCUGAGAGGAAGGUCCCCCACAUUGGAACUGAGACACGGUCCAAACUCCUACGGGAGGCAGCAGUGAGGAAUAUUGGUCAAUGGACGAGAGUCUGAACCAGCCAAGUAGCGUGAAGGAUGACUGCCCUAUGGGUUGUAAACUUCUUUUAUACGGGAAUAAAGUGAGGCACGUGUGCCUUUUUGUAUGUACCGUAUGAAUAAGGAUCGGCUAACUCCGUGCCAGCAGCCGCGGUAAUACGGAGGAUCCGAGCGUUAUCCGGAUUUAUUGGGUUUAAAGGGAGCGUAGGCGGACGCUUAAGUCAGUUGUGAAAGUUUGCGGCUCAACCGUAAAAUUGCAGUUGAUACUGGGUGUCUUGAGUACAGUAGAGGCAGGCGGAAUUCGUGGUGUAGCGGUGAAAUGCUUAGAUAUCACGAAGAACUCCGAUUG